UUGUUCUGAAGUACGUAAAGGCAACACAAAUGAACUGUUUCGGUUUUCUAUGAAGAAGUUCCACCCUCCGAGGCCCGGCUGUCUAGCGGUCGCCAGGCCGUGCUGAGGGAAGGGUGAAGUUACCACUGCUCUUCACUAGAGGUUGCACAUGGCCAUUGCUGACGCCGAGAAACGCCUCAGACCUUCAGGAGCCACGCAGAGCCCCUACCUAAACUGCAACUCCUGCUGCCUAACCAAGUACCCGUGCCGCUCCUCGUCGCAGCCGCCACACCAAGUCUCACCUUGCUCUGCGUGCGCUGAAAGCAAUGGCAAGUGACAAAUUGGCAACGUUUCAGCUUUUCUCCUGCCUAUCGGUCUCCUCGGUGACGGCCUUCCUCCCGGCGCCCUCCGCAAUUGGUGUAUUCGACAAGAUAUACGAGGUUCCCGACCUGGCGGACAGAAACUGUAGGCACGGGCAAGGCUGCCUGUGCCUCCUCGGACGGUCGUUUCUAGGCUCCAAGUCUCGCAACCUUCCGUGUUUUUAAGAGUAUAGGAAAUUAGGGAAUAUAUUUAGUUGCUGUUCGACAAGUGUUGCCGCGUGGUAUCGAUCGUGUGCGUGUGUGUGUGUGUAUGUGUUUGUUUACGCAACUUGUCUAAUAACGUUCAAUAUUAAUGUACUGUGUAAUAACCAUUCGCCGAGUGGGAUAAGACACCAGGCCUUAGAGUAUAUAGUAUUAU